rnacentral:rRNA from 1 species
AAGUUAGCGGCGGACGGGUGAGUAACACGUGGGUAACCUGCCCAUAAGACUGGGAUAACUCCGGGAAACCGGGGCUAAUACCGGAUAACAUUUUGAACCGCAUGGUUCGAAAUUGAAAGGCGGCUUCGGCUGUCACUUAUGGAUGGACCCGCGUCGCAUUAGCUAGUUGGUGAGGUAACGGCUCACCAAGGCAACGAUGCGUAGCCGACCUGAGAGGGUGAUCGGCCACACUGGGACUGAGACACGGCCCAGACUCCUACGGGAGGCAGCAGUAGGGAAUCUUCCGCAAUGGACGAAAGUCUGACGGAGCAACGCCGCGUGAGUGAUGAAGGCUUUCGGGUCGUAAAACUCUGUUGUUAGGGAAGAACAAGUGCUAGUUGAAUAAGCUGGCACCUUGACGGUACCUAACCAGAAAGCCACGGCUAACUACGUGCCAGCAGCCGCGGUAAUACGUAGGUGGCAAGCGUUAUCCGGAAUUAUUGGGCGUAAAGCGCGCGCAGGUGGUUUCUUAAGUCUGAUGUGAAAGCCCACGG